rnacentral:rRNA from 1 species
CCUGAGAAACCCAAAAGAUCGAAUGGGGAGACUCAACGAUUGCGAUCCUGGCGCUAGCGCGGUUCGCGAUGCUACCGGGACCUCGGUUCCGUUGGCACGCGUCCGUGCGUGUUGAUUCGCCGGGUGUCGCCGUCGCGCACUUCUCCCCUAGUAGGACGUCGCGACCCGUUGGGUGUCGGUCUACGGCCCGGGUGGGCGCCUGUCGUUUGUUACGCCUCGCGGCGUCAUGCGGCAGACCCCCGGUCGCCCGACCAGCUGCCCGGCGGUACUCGCACGGUAUCGGGCCGCAAACAUUUGAACUGCGUCGGGCCCGUCGCAAGCGAGGCCAGUGUACAACCCGGAUGCGCGGACCUAGCGCCGCCACCGGGCCUGGCCAGCUGUUGGCUGACGGUGUCCUAAGACAGGCUCUUUUAAUUGUGAUACCGGUCGGCGACGCUACUGCUUUGGGUACUUUCAGGACCCGUCUUGAAACACGGACCAAGGAGUCUAACAUGUGCGCGAGUCAUUGGGAAAAUUCUAAGCCUAAAGGCGCAAUGAAAGUGAAGGUAGGCCUAGCGCCGACCGAGGGAGGAUGGGCGGCGUCACGAUGCCGUCCCGCACUCCCGGGGCGUCUCGUUCUCAUUGCGAGAAGAGGCGCACCCAGACGUACACGUUGGGAACCGAA